CUGGUCUCAAAUCAGUAGGAUCACCCGCUGAACUUAAGCAUAUCAAUAAGCGGAGGAA
rnacentral:rRNA from 1 species